rnacentral:rRNA from 1 species
AUUGAACGCUGGCGGCAUGCCUUACACAUGCAAGUCGAACGGUAACAGGUCUUCGGAUGCUGACGAGUGGCGAACGGGUGAGUAAUACAUCGGAACGUGCCUAGUAGUGGGGGAUAACUACUCGAAAGAGUGGCUAAUACCGCAUGAGAUCUACGGAUGAAAGCAGGGGAUCGCAAGAUCUUGUGCUACUAGAGCGGCCGAUGGCAGAUUAGGUAGUUGGUGGGAUAAAAGCUUACCAAGCCGACGAUCUGUAGCUGGUCUGAGAGGACGAUCAGCCACACUGGGACUGAGACACGGCCCAGACUCCUACGGGAGGCAGCAGUGGGGAAUUUUGGACAAUGGGCGCAAGCCUGAUCCAGCAAUGCCGCGUGCAGGAUGAAGGCCUUCGGGUUGUAAACUGCUUUUGUACGGUACGAAAAGCCCUGGGUUAAUACCCUGGGGUCAUGACGGUACCGUAAGAAUAAGCACCGGCUAACUACGUGCCAGCCGCCGCAGUAA